rnacentral:ncRNA from 1 species
UAAAAUUAAAUCACACUCAUAUAAUCGCGGGGAUAUGGCCUGCAAGUUUCUACCGGAAUACCUUAAAUAUUCCGACUAUGGGUGGGU